rnacentral:tRNA from 1 species
CCGCCGCAUGGCAACCCUGGUCGCCACCGGAUCUGCGCCGGUCGUGCUCGCCUUCGCCGGGGCGGGCGCGGCGUCCGCAGCGCCGGCGGCGCC